UUGCAAAGCCACCACUCUCCUACCUUCAAAGUUUGCAUCUCUUGCAUAAGAUGCUCAAAGAAGAUCUUAUUAAAGCCACGCCAUGGAAGGUAUGAAGUGUCCAUCAUGGGCAUAUUCGGAGAGAGUUGAAUUUCUUGGUUUUUGGUGGGAAGUCCUGUAAUGCCAAAACCAAUUCUUAAUAACUCUGUUGGGUUUUACUUGCAAUUAUAAUCAACCGAGUAAACGGCAAAUAUUAAACUAACUCUUAAAGUUAAAUUCUGUGAUUUGUUUCUAAAUCUCCCAGCACAUAUAUCAGCAAUUACAAUACAUAAUUAAAAAUUGAAAGGGAUUGUGUACCUUGAGAAUCAAUAAUGGCAUCUUCAAUAAGGUUUGGGAUGCAGGCAGCAGAAGCCAAGGAAGUUGCAGAUGCUGGACAGAGAAGAGCUCCUUUGAUUCCCAUUUUAUUUCCUACUUGCAAAGCCCAACCCAUAUUUAUGGUAACAAUUAUACAUGUUAUCUUGUUGUCGACAUUGGAGGCAUUAAUGUCUUGUAUGAGCUUUGGAAGCAGAGCAGGCAUGGUGGUUUUCAUUGAAACAAGAAGUUUGGCCACAUCGCUUCUGUCAUCCUGAGGAUCCAAACCAUCAGGGAGAGUCACCAUCUCUACUUUUGCCUCCUCCAUGUUGUCACCACCAGCAGUAUUGGCUCGCUUGUGGCUGAACUCAGUGUGUACAAAAGUGACCUUGCAACCAUGUUUGGCCAAAAGAAGAGAAAACUGCAUGAGGGGAUUCACAUGUCCUUGAAUAGGUAAUGGUAAACAAAGAAAGUGAGGGAUGCCCAUUUUGGUGAAUCAAUUGAACAAUUGGGAAGACUCGAAUCAAGUGUAGGAACGAAAUGUGUGUUGUUGUUGUUUGUGUGUAUGAUGUUUUUGCCUUAUAUAUAGUUAUUAAAAUGCGUACAGGCAACUGAUGUAUCUCGUACAAUUCAAAACUGGUGGGUUUGAAGAGACAUGGUCAACUGAUUUUCUGGAAUUAGAAUAAUAAUCUUCCUCAUGGUUUCUAUAUAAGAGAGAGAAAGACUAAAAUAAAUAAUAUGUAAGCAGAAGAGAUCAAAAACUUAAUAUAACAGUCAUUUGUGUAUACUUUUUAUGCGUGUGUGUGUCUCAAUGCGUCACUUAUGAUGUUAGUAAAAGAUAUAAUUACAGAUUAAUAUAUCAACAUUCAUUGAACAAGAUGUCUUCAUCCAAAAUUCAAACACGAAAGUAUUAUUUGUAAACGUCAGCAAUGUCGUAAAACAAAAUAUAUUAAACUACAAAAACUAAGUUAUAAGUUAAUAGUUGACAAGGUUGCUAUUAAUUGACAAACUUUUAGUUUAUAAAUUUUUAAGUGAUAAGCUAAUUUGUUAUAUUAAAGUGUGUAGUAGAAUUAAUUAGUAAUCAGUUGCUAACUGUAAAAUAUUAUAAAAAGAUAUAAUUACAUAGAUUUUAUUAUAUAAAUUAUAUUUUAAAAAACAAUUAAAACUUUAUUUAAAAGUUUAUUAUUUCUAUCUAUUUUUUAAAAGUUGUAUAUGUUUUUUUAGUUGAAUAAGUCAUUGUUCCAUCCUAAUUAGUUAGAAUUAUUUAAUUUUAGGAAUUAAAAUAUUUAUUUAUCAAUAUAAAUGACUGUUAUAUUAAGUUUUUAUUUUACAUAUAAUUUUUAUAUGAAAUCAAUACUUGGUUAUUUAUAUAAUAUAUCAUCUUAUUAGUUUAAAACUACUAAAAUAAAUAAGUGUUACAAAUAAUUGACAAGAAACUUCAUAUUUAUAAAGUUGAAGACUUAUAUUUAGGAAACUAAACCUAAUUCUACCGUCGUUUUAACCUCAUCUCAUGCUAGAUCAACUGGAAAGACAUUUCCCAUAAACUCACUAUUUAAGGUGAUUAUUGCAAAAAAAAAAAAAACAAACACAAACAAACAACAUAAUAAGAAUAAGUUAAUAUUAUAAACAAAAUCAUUCAUACAAUUAUAAAACUCUAUACAAUAUAAUUCAUUUCCAAAUCAAAUCAAAUCUCAGCAUACAUAUAAUUUCUAGACUUGAUCAAUCCGGAUAUAUGUAUGGAUGUCAAACCAUAGCAAGUUUUUGCAUUUGUAGUGGUGGAAUAGCUCCUCCCCAAACUACAACACAAGGCUAGUCCGUGUAUCACCUAUGGACAAAGAAUUAAAUCACAUAUUAGAACGUCUUACUACUCCUCCCCACAUAAUCUUCUUCUCUAUUUGGGAUGUAACGAUUAUUACAGUUUUAGGAUAACUUCCAAGGCUGAGUCUCUACAUUAAUACAUAACUUUACUUGAAACCACUAUUAAGAAUUUCACCUUAGAAACUCUUUUAAAACCACACUUUAAUAUUAUCACAACCUCAUUCGCAAGCCAUCCAAACAUUUCAUAUAAUAUACCAAGCACACCUUAAAGAAUCAAUGUAAAUAUCAUUCAUAAGAAAAUAAAAGAGAGAAAAAACACACAAAACUCGUACAACGAGGCACCCAGGGCUAGAACCUUGGAGCUCAACGCUAGACUUGUAGUAGGCAAGUGGCGCUUAGUGUCAGACUUAGAGUAGCCAGGGGCUCUUAGGUUUGACAAUGUUAAGGUUACAUGGUUGGGCAGUUGCAAAUUGUAAGUUAUGCUUAAAAAGAAUCCAUAAAGUUGAGGUUUGAAGGUUGAAAAGUUGUUUUGAGAAUAGAGACUAGACUAAUCUAUAAUAUUGAGUACUAGAGCAUUAAUGUAGAGGCGAAGUUUUCAGUUAGUCAGGUUGUUGGGAGUAGUAUCUUGGUCAAGCUAGGUGAGUGUCAUAAGAGUAAGUUGGUGAGAAUACUUUUGUUUCUACUUGAUGAGUGAAUUUUCAAAGAUGAAAAUUUUUGUUGUUAUGGAGAAUGUAAAGACCUAGAGAAUGGUAUUGUAGAAGUGGUAAUGGUUUAAAAGUAACAAGACUCGAUUAUUUUAAUAAUAAAAGAUUUUAAUAUAAGUAGUUGUGUGAGGAACGAGUUUCAUUAUUUUAAAACACAUCAUCUCUUUAAAAACCACUUUACUAAAGUUCUUUGACUUCUUUCUAAGGGUUCUCAUUCCCUGUUCAUCUGUUUGAAAAUUAGAGACUGCAUGAAUGAUCCUUGUAACGAGAUCUUGAAGUCUAACUAAUCAGAAAAGAAUAAGUUGAUUUUUGCUCUUUUUCCUUAGUCUUUUUUUUUCAUGUACAUGUGUAUCAUCUAUGGUUGCAUGUAUCAUCUGAGUCUUCUAUAAGACUAUCCACUAAUUAGUGAUCCUAAUGGUGCAUCCUGAUUGUAUUUCUAUUAUUAGUAGGACCAUGUAGAAAUUUUUGUCCGUUGGAGUAGUUUUAGGCUUUCUAGAGCGGUUUGAUCUUUUGUCAAGUAAGGAAAGCUAAUAUUCGUCUUAAUUUUUCAUAUCAGAAGCAUGAAUUUGUGUUUGAUAGAUAGUGGAAUGUAUGCUUGGUUGAAUAUGUUAUUAAUUGAAAUUCAUGUUGAGUGAUGUUGUAUAUUAAUGAGUGAAUAAUUGUCUAUUGAUGAAUAUUUUGAUGUAUGCUUGUGAUAAUGGUGUGAACUUUGGAUGUUAUUGUUUUGAAGUUAUAAAGGUGCAAAUCUGAUGUAGAGUUGAAAGUAAGAAAAGGAGAGUGUUGUUGGAUUGAUUUUUAGUCUAAAUUAAGGUUUUUAUAGAAUUUCCAGAGAAAAAGCUUUGGAAAGAUAACAGUGUUUGAGGUAUGUUUACAAAUCAUUUUAAACUUGUCUAGAAUGCUUGUUAACCAUAAUUUUGAUGUUGAUUUGGGAAGUGGUAAAUAGAUAGAAUUGUAGGUUGAGUUUUAUGUAGUUUUGGUCUACUUUAGGAGCUCUAACAAGUGAGAAUCUAAAUAAGAAGAUUUGUAAAAAAAUAAAGGUUUAAAGUCUUCUUUUUAGUCAAUUGUAAGUUGUUUAAACCCUUAGCUUGCAAAUUCCUAAACUAUAAAGUGUAGAAUUGGUUCUAGUAAAUUUUGAGUGGUUGAAUUGGUCUAGUACAUCUUAUUUCUAACCAAAUGAACAAUGUGGUACUUCAUUUUCAUCUAUAAACUUGCUUUCGUAUCAAUCCAAGUAUUAAAGAACCCAAACUGGUCAUUUUGUUCAACUACGAUAACUAUAUCAACUACUUCAACUGCGAUCAACUACAAUAACGUUAACAAAAGAAAAAUACAUGUUCUUUUUCAGUCAGGAGAAAAAGAAUUGUUGUACAAAGGAAGCAUCCCUACUUUGCCCAAUCCAUAAAGAAGUUGAGAUUCUUUGAUGACUGUCCACCUUCUUGUAUGUUAUUUAUAGUCAUCUCCUUCAGCUUCAAUGACUUUCCUUUAAUGUCUUCAUCAACCAGAAGUUGAUCCACCUUCUUCUUAAUCUCUUCCCUUGAAACUAUUCCAGUUUCAUCCUUUUCUAAACCAAUUCCAAUCUUCCACACAUCACAAAUAUAAGACUUGUUCAGAAAUUGAUCAGUUGCACAUGGCCANCACAAGAAAGGUACACCAGCACAUAUACCUUCCAGAGUAGAAUUCCAACCACAGUGACUAAUGAAGCAAGCCAANGAAGGGUGGUUCAGUAUCUUCUUCUGAGGGGCCCAACCAACUAUUUUACCUUUGCUUCCAUGGAAAUCAUUAGGGUAUGCAUUCACGUUUUCCUUCUUGUCAUUACUGGGACGCACAACCCAAAUAAAAGGCCUCUGAAGCAGAUCAAGUGCAAGAGCUAAUUCUUUAAACUGAUUCGGAUCCAUCAUUGCUAAACUGCCAAAGGAAACAUACACAACAGACUGAGGUGGUUGCUCAUCUAACCACUCCAAACANGCUCUGUCUUCUUCCCAGAAUGAACUUCUGUUGCUAUUUUCCAUCAAUGGCCCAAUUGGCAGGAACUUUGGUGAUAUGGAAAAUGCUCCCGGNUCAAGAUCAUAGGUAGUGUUGCAAAGCCACCACUCUCCUACCUUCAAAGUUUGCAUCUCUUGCAUAAGAUGCUCAAAGAAGAUCUUAUUAAAGCCACGCCAUGGAAGGUAUGNAGUGUCCAUCAUGGGCAUAUUCGGAGAGAGUUGAAUUUCUUGGUUUUUGGUGGGAAGUCCUGUAAUGCCAAAACCAAUUCUUAAAAACUCUGUUGGGUUUUACUUGCAAUUAUAAUCAACCGAGUAAACAGAAAAUAUUAA
rnacentral:lncRNA from 1 species